GAGAAGAGAGAAGAGAGGGUAAGCUGUGCUCGCCGCCCUAGCAAACCUCGGCCUCCUUUUCUCCGCCGCACUAGCCAAAAGGUGAUUUCCACCGCCGCCAGAAUCGAACAAAAAGGGAUCUCCAAUGUCGUCGCCGUCAAGCGAUUCGUGGAAAACAGGGAUGGAGAGGAAGAAGAAAGGAGCUCCGAUCAAAUUCUUGGUGCCUCUGAUUUACGCGCCUGCGCUUCCUUAGGUUCGCUUGUCCUUGAGACAUCAUCUUGUUCUCAAGGAUCGUCUCUUCGGUCUUGUCCUCGCUGGUGCUUUCGCUCAUGGCUUCUAUCUCGUGAAUCCUCUUUUUAUUAUUGCCUCUCCAUUAACUAAUCUUUGUUGCUUUCUUGUCUGAUUGUGAAUCAUAUUGGGUUGAUAAGGUGUUAUUACAAUUUUUAGCAUAGCUGAUUUUUCUUUCAUCACCUCUUGUCUGAAGAUUUGGUUGUCUCCUAGCUUCUUAAACUUGUAUAGCUGCGUGUUGUCUUGUUGAGUUUCAUCACCUCUUAUCUGAAGAUUUGGUAGAAAAAAAUGUACCUUCACCAGUCUUGUGGACAGCUUCAAGCUUUUGAAGGAAGGCAAAGACGACUUGACGGAAGAAGAUAUUUACCUCUCUUGUGAUCUCGGUUGGUGUCACUCGCAUUGGCCACCCUUGAAAAUGUUGAGUCAAAAGAUGAUGUAACAGUGAGAAUGAUGCAGAAGACGAUGAUGAAAGAAACACACGAAUGUUGCAGUCUCUCACUGGAAUGCCAAGUGCAGCCUUUGAAGUUUUAGUUAGAGACCAAGGUUCUGAUUUGAAAGAAUCAAUCUGCCUCGUACGUUGUGUUCUCGCCCUUCCUCUUCAAUCCUUCGGUUUCGAGUGGCAGAAGAUUGUUGAUGAUUAGACUGAUCGGAAGAGCUCACGUUUAUCUAUCAAUACAGACUUGUAUAUCAUCUCACGACUACAGCGAAGUAUAAACUUUCUGCAGGUAACAUCAUUUGCCCUUUAUGAGUCUGUGCAAUAAUCUUGACGACAGAGGUGGAAAGGCAGCGAGGUGGAUGGGACGAGCUUGCUGUGAUGAAUGGGGCGGAGAGGCGUCGGAUUUGAAGAAGCUGCGUUGUGGAGAUGGCAGAGGAAGCUAGCGGUGGUAGUGGUGGCGGCACUAAAAGAUAGAGCACUAGAAGAUAGGAGAUAGUGAGGGUUUAUUAGUGGUAGAUUGAUAGUUUUUAUGAUUGUGUUGUGGUCUGUAUGAACAAGAUAAUGUUUUAUGGGUUUUUAACUGAUCGUACCACAGACGUUCUUUCC